AGAGAUGUGGAAGUGCCCGAAAGGGAGCCAGAACACAGGUGCUGCAUGGCUGUCGUCAGCUCGUGUCGUGAGAUGUUGGGUUAAGUCCCGCAACGAGCGCAACCCUUGUCAUUAGUUGCUACGAAAGGGCACUCUAAUGAGACUGCCGGUGACAAACCGGAGGAAGGUGGGGAUGACGUCAAGUCCUCAUGGCCCUUAUGGGUAGGGCUACACACGUCAUACAAUGGCUGGUACAGAGGGUUGCCAACCCGCGAGGGGGAGCUAAUCCCAUAAAACCAGUCGUAGUCCGGAUCGUAGUCUGCAACUCGACUGCGUGAAGUCGGAAUCGCUAGUAAUCGCGGAUCAGCAUGUCGCGGUGAAUACGUUCCCGGGUCUUGUACACACCGCCCGUCACACCAUGGGAGCGGGUUCUGCCAGAAGUAGUUAGCCUAACCGCAAGGAGGGCGAUUACCACGGCAGGGUUCGUGACUGGGGUG
rnacentral:rRNA from 1 species